ACGCGAAGACCUNUACCUGGGCUUGAACCGCACCGGACCAUCCCUAGAAACAGGGACUUCCCGCAAGGGACUGGUGUAGAGGUGCUGCAUGGCUGUCGUCAGCUCGUGCCGUGAGGUGUUGGGUUAAGUCCCGCAACGAGCGCAACCCUUACUCGUAGUUGCCACCCGCAAGGGGGAACUCUACGAGGACUGCUCCGGAUAACGGAGAGGAAGGUGGGGAUGAGGUCAAGUCAGCAUGGCCUUUAUGUCCAGGGCCACACACGUGUUACAAUGCGCGCUACAAAGCAUCGCGAGCCCGCGAGGGGGAACAAAUCGAAAAAAAACGCGCACAGAUAGAAUUAGAGACAAACCACUCCAUCGCGUGAAUACCCGUAUAACAAUUAAUAUCGCAUCCGCACAAGCAUCUAGAAACGAUAUACCCAACAUCUACUGCAGAAGAUGA
rnacentral:rRNA from 1 species